GGGUGUUUCACUGGAGAUCCCUGCCUACUAGAGACAUUCUAAAGCAUUUCUAUAUUCUUUAUCGUGGAAAAGAGAGUCUGCGUGGUAUACCAGAAGCUGGUACUUCUGAGAUGGUGAAAACAGCUCCCUAGAAAAGAUGCAGACAAGUUGAGAUCACCCAACAGCCUAAGAACCAAGGACAGACCUGAAGUUAUUCAUCCAGCUUGAACUCCUGCUGUUUUGCCACGCAGUAACAGCACAGCUCCUCACAGAGCUGCUAUCUUGCUGUGUUGAAAUGCAACGAUUUCAGAAUGGGACUGUGGCUCUAACUAUAGUACCUCACAAAACUACCCGAAAAACCUUUCCUGUUUCUCAGGAAAGCCCUGAGAAACAACGGGAAAAGCUGUGAUGUACACAGGGCGCCCUUGUUAAGAGAGGAGGAAAUCGCUGCAUCUCCACUGUGGAAGCCCAUGCAGGGCCACGGACCCCAGCUGCUGCCCGACCGUGGGCUGACAGAACACAGCUUCAUCCCUUCAGGGCCGUGAGCAACGGGAGCGCACGAGGCCCAUCGGGAAGGGGCCCUUUUCCUUCCCGGUCCCGUCAGCGCGGCGGGAGGGUCACUCACGGGUUGUUGCCGCUCAUCGUUAGGAGAAGCCCGCUGAGGAGCCGCACGUUCGAGUGGAGGCCGGCGGAGGCCAUCUCCCGUACGUGCUCCACCACGCUCAUGCCGGCGGCGGAAAAGGACAGGACAGAGGGAAGAACGCGGCGCAGAACGGGACAAUCUCCGCCUCAGCUCGCCGCCACUCCAAAAUGGCGCCAAGGCGGGGGCCUCGCGCCGCUGUCUACAGGCGCCCGCGCAGUGCCCUAACGCCGCCCUAACGGCGGGACAGGCGCGCGGUGGGCAGCCCCGGGUGCCCCGCGAGGCCCCCCCGAUAGUUCCGCGCACGCGCAAUGGCGCUUUUCCUCAGUGGCGCUGUGGGCGGGGCGGGGUGUUGGUGUCUGUGUGUGGUAUGAGGCAGGCGUUGUUGCUGGGUGUGUCCCGACCCAGCAUUAUGGUUUUUUUUUUCCUUUUAAUUGAAGAUUCAGACCUUGCGUCUGCGCAGCUCUUGAGCCUGGACGCUUUUCUCCUCAGACUUCACUGUGAUGGCUGCAGCAGUGAUGUGAGGUGGCAAAGCUUGUGCCUAUGAGACAAUUGAGGAGGAAGAUCUCUCAAAACCUAGGCUGCUUCUGGCCCACAGCUGGGUGAAGUACCUCACUGGUGCUGCUGUGAACUACGAGGCACACAGUACCUCUCACAGGAGAGCUAAUCCUGCACAGCAAUAAUGAGAUAAAACAGUCGUGCCAGGAAUUUUUCUUUCAGUCAAUUACCACAAAAAGCGUGUUAGUGCUGUGUGGUGAUGGUGAAAGUAUUGCCACAGAGGAGACGGAAUGAGACCAGCAGGUCCUCAAAACAAACACAGUAUUUGCCAAUAUCAUAUCAUGAUGGCCUCUUCAUCAAAAUUGCAUUUUUAUUUCUUUCAAAGCUAACCAUAAGACAUAAAGCAGUUAUCAUAUUAAUUACAAGCUAAGUUUAUUGGAAAAAAAAGUAAAAAAUCACUGCACUCAACAUGAUACUGAGACUCUAUCCAGCAGAGCAAUCACAUACCACUCCAGGCACAAACACCACUUCUUUAAACAAAAGCCCUGCUGUAAAUGCUAGCUGUAGCCACUGACAAUAAAGCAGCCUGCAUCUGAAACAGCAUGUUAGGAAUCAUUUAUUAAGCACCAGCUUAAUAAUACUUGCUUACAGUACUCAAAUGAUCUUUUUACUUUACAUCCCUGUUCCCCUCAUUGACUUUUUUU